UUUUUUUUCCCCUCAGAAAAAGCGUGUGGGUACAGGGGUGUGUUCAGCACAACUCACCCUUGAUGUGUUGGCAAGGUGUAGCAGGAGCAUGAACUUAGAGCCCUGUUCAAAGAACCAUGAUGGUUUCUUAGGCUUACAAAUUGGUAUGGUAACAUUUCAUUUAACAUUAAUAAUGAAUAUCCAAAAUACUCCCAGGGGAAGUUAAGAAGUAUAUCAAUAUAAUUAUGCUUUGGCAAACUAAUUACAAUGAUUUGUGACAGAAGAUUUUUUCAGCUUCUACCCUUUUUAUUUUUUUCCUUAAUUCAAAUUCCUCUUUCCACAUUUUGUCCAUAGCUCCUCAAACAAACUUUACCCAGUCUUAGACCAGAUAUUACAGCUGUGAAAUAAAUAGACUAAAUAAUAAUUCUUGCACUUUGAUGCUGGGAGUACUUAAAAAUUUAAUGCUUUUCGAGAAAGGCACACCAUGAAGCCACAGUAGCUUCCUUCAGGGCUCGUCUUUCCUUGUGUUUUCAUCAUCCCUCAGACCAAGCACAAAACAUGCAUUAGUUUUGUUCAUUUCCCCCAGUUUCAAACCUGUUCUUCUGCUUAAUGAAUGAAGUACAUUUAUGGAGGCCUGCAACUGGCAUGCUCUUUGUGAAGAGCCUAGAUAUUCCUUAUUGUGAGUAUUUCUCUUUGGGCCUUUAUUCCUUCCACUCAGAUGUCCAUUCGUCUACUCAUUUUUUAUUUUGGUAGUUGGCAAAACCUGUUCAAAUAUCCUGAUUAUAUUUUCUGUCUCACAGCAAGGAACUGUUUUUGAUAAAAUGCAGAGGUAUAGUUUUGAUUAUGGUGUUAAAAUGCUACUUAAAACUGUUCCCUUUUUUUUAUUGAAAUGUUUUCCCCAUCUUAUUAGCCACAGAGAUACAACGUAUUUUCUCCAUGCGGUUCCUAAGGGACAGUAAGCAAUAUGCUACAUGUCAGUUACAUGUUAGUUUAAUACACCUGGAAUAACUCAGCUGCAAAUUCUCAAACUAACCCACACAUCUCUAUAUGAAUAGGAAGCCAAGGAUUUAAUGAAGAAUUGUAUAAUUCUUUAAUGGCAAUUUUAUGACAACUUAGUUGGCUGGCUUUCUUCUUUAAUUUGGAUUCAUUUGCACAGCUGAGUGUAGCUAAGAAGUCCCUCAGGCACACAGCAGUUCCUGGCUGGUAUAAGUGCAAUUCUGACUUGUACUGCUGCUGUCUGAAGCCAGUAUCCACACUGUGGGGUUCUGGAAACUCAACUAAGCUGCAGAAAAUGCUUUAUCUCUAUAUUUAAUGCUGGGUGGCCAGACUGGAAGAUCAGAGCUAGCUGGUCCUGAUUUGUUAUGCAGAGCUACUUUUAAACGGCCCUGUUUAUGAACAAGAUGUGGUUUAGUCACAUCAGCAAACCCUUUGUUUUAUUCUUCUGAGGUCUAGGUCUGACUUUGGCUGCAACCUUAAGGAGCUGGCAAAAGUAGGAAAAGAAGUUCAGGGAAAAGUGCUUUAUACCAGCUGUGUGAUUCAUAUUUAAAACAUGAAUCACAAAAACAUAUUAUUUAUAUAUGAAUAAUAUGUAUCCCUAGUUUUAGAGAACUAAAUAUGAUUAAGACUCUGAAAAAAGUUUAUGAGGUAAAUUAUGUACUGAUCUGAAAAAAUAGAUUAAAACUCCUCUUAUUCAGCAUGCAUCAAAGGCUUAUUUUGUCUAUCACCUAUUCCUGAAAUCAGUGGAUCAGAGCCCAGAAAUGUGCAUCAAAUACAGUGCUGAAAGUACUCUGCUUUCUAAGAAAAUCAAAGAUAAAAAUAUAGGCACUCCUCUGUUUUUUAUUAUUGUUAUUUUUUCAGGGUUUUUAGACGAUUAGAUUGAACAAUAGCAUUAUUUUCAUAAUACUCUCUUUUUGAUUCAUUCCUAUCUCUGACUACUCACUUCUGUAGAGAUCCCAGCAUCCUCACUAUGCUGGCUCUUGCAAUGGCCAUAAACCAUACAAAUCUGAAGCAGGGAUCCUCCUGCCAAUGUUUUUUCUUGCUAGUUUCCUGGGAAGAAGAAUUUUGCCUCCAAAGAUAAAUAUUUUCACUGUUGAAAGGCAGUGACAGAGCUGCAGUAGAAAUCAGUGCUCAAUCCAUCCCAUCUGUGGGUAAACACAAUGUUAAAUUUCUUUUCAAAUGUAAACAACAGAUGAUUUUCAGACAUGAUUCCUUUAGAAUCAAUUUAAAAUGUGAGAAUUCAUACAGCAUAAUAUAAAUGUCUGGCAGUUCAAAGCACAAAAUUUUCCAUCUUUGAAUAAUGGUUUUAUAAUUCAGAAAGGGAUUAAAACAAUACAUUGACUCUUUAACAUGAGCAAUGAUAUCCUGGGGAUCGGCUGUCCUAUGGGACUUCCAAGCUGCCUUUUCCUCAUAAACUUUCUAGAAAAUGCCAUAAAUUAACUAAGUAAAAAAAUAUAAGUAGAAUUAUACACAGAUGCUGAUUAAGUCCUUAACCCAGCAUAAACAUAUUGUGUGCAAUGUACCCUGUUCCCAGGCUCAAGUUCAGAUCAACUUUGAAGCGACUUUCAGGAACAGAAUUAAGAACCAGCAAUUGUAAUAAUGAAAUUCUCCCAGAUGUUAAUGCUGGUUUUGCUUCAUCAGCUUCUAAUCAAUCAUAUAUUUUCCUUUUGUAAAGGAAGAAAAAUGUAUAGUGCAAGCAUGCCUGAUUCAUCAAGGUGUGAUUCUGCCUAGACACUGCUGCUGAACUGUGGUGAUGCAAGGUAUUGAACAUCCAAGGAAGUUAUACUCGGAAAAGGAAAGGAAGGUAACACUAUUAAGGACAUUCACUGCUACAUCCUCGACGGACAAUGUAUUGAGGAUGUUAUCCCUGCUUGAAGAAUGCCAACACUUUGCAGAAGGAAAUGGGAUACCCUGAUCCAGCUGGAGCAGAGGAAGCUCCUACAACUUAUUUGAAAGUCUAUAUAAUAAACUGUACAAAGGUAUGAAAUGAGUUUUUCAUAGAUACUCUAUUGCAUUAUAAGAUUUUGUUUGUAUUGAAACUCUUGAAAUUACUUAAACAGUAGGUGCUGAAGUACUCUUGUUAUCUAAGUGCAUUUACAAGUGGUGCUGGAAUCAAAGUAAUGUCCACAGGAAAUUUUAUAAAGACAUUAUAUUCCAAAAUUAAGAGGACUGGCAUUUACAGGUGAUAAUUCAAUUUUUAAUCUAGAUUUAUGAUACGCAUGUGCUUUAUCCAUAGGUGCUAUAGAUGUUAGGCUACAUGAAGGUAUCAAUCAUUAUGAUAUUUAAGCAACUUUUCAGGCAGGAAGGAACAAGCAUGUGAGAGAAAAAUCAAGGAAGUUGUGCGCCAUCUGGAAGCAGUUCACAGAUGUGCUGUCCUCAGCUUAAAGAAACUUCAAAUAUGCUGUUUUGAAUGCACUGAGUUACUUGUACCAAAAGUCUCUCAUUCUGGAAAGAGAUCUGCUGCACUUAACUAUGUUUGACAUUUAUACUGUCAAUUUAGAACUACAUAGAGAUUGCAUAAUGGAAUUAUACAUAGAUUUCAACACAAAAUGGACAUUCAGCCUGUCUAGUAUGACUUGUGACAGCAUGCCUGGGGUUCAGGUGGGAAAUCUCAGCAGAAGGUGGACUGAGAAACUUCAACAAUUCAAUGUCCUCUCAGAUUGUGACUAGCACACAUCCAAGUUGCUGCAGAAGAAAACAUGGGACUAUAUAAAUACACUAUUUUCCAUACAAUGUUAUUCUUGCAUGGUGCUUAGAUGAUAUCUAUAUUUGAAGUGACUCCAGUUUGCCAAGACAAAUAUUGUUCUCUUCAGCAGUUCAUUAUUUCACUACAUCCUCAUGUCAGACUACACAACAAUGUGUCAGACACUCUGGUGAUUUGACAUAAAUAAUGUCAAGGGAUACAGAAUGGUAAGGGACCAAUAGAUAUAAACAAAAGGUUAUGAAUAACAGAAAAGUAACUGAACAUGUACCUGAAGUUUGCCCAUGUUUAUUUAACCUCAGCAUUGCUCAUUUUACAAGCACAAGCUGAGGUAGUUUCCUUGCAUUCUUGCUCUGUGGUAUUGUGUUACUUCAUAUACAAUAUAGUAAGCCUCUGUAAUUGAAUUGAACCACCAUGCUUUAAAAUCCGAGCCAUAAUUUAAUCUACCAUUAUAUUCAAGAUACAGAAACUGUCACAGUUCGGCCCACCAUCCAUCCCAACUAGUUGACUUCCCACAGAAAACUAGAAGUAAUAUAAAUAUUUUGUAAGGAAAUAACCUAGAUGUUAUCUGACUCAUUUAAAUGUUUUAAACAUUAGAAAAUAUAGGAACACCUAUUGUUUGUUUGCAUACAUAGUGGAAUGUUUCCUGAUUUACAAGAGAGGAGUUGCACUGGAAUAUGAUUUGAAUCCACUCUAAGCUGUGCUCACAAGAUAAAUAUUCCUGAAAUACAGUGUUAGUAUUUUCUGUGCAAUAUAGUCCCAAAGGCUACACUUAAUUGUGAUAAUACAAGAAAUUGUAUUCUAGUGCCUAAUUUUUUGUUUUCCUCAAAUACAUUUAAAAGUUAUGUUUGUGUAACUGUCUGCAUAGUGCAAUCCUUCAGAACUUAGCAACCAAUAUAUGAAUGCCUAUAUAUGACUCACAGACCCUUCUUAUUCUGUACGAAGCAAUAAUCCCCUCAUCUCUGAUAUGUGACACUGCAGCUAGUUGGAGUUAGUUGCAAAGUCUAACAAUAUUUAUUGGACUGGAAAAUCCACAAAAACUUGAAGGUGAGCCAGUUUUAGUUAAAUUCCCCAACCCCAUUCCCUAACAAAUUAAUCUUAAGUUCCAUUUGAAACAUAAAUUAGAUAAUAUCUACAGGACAAAAUCAAGUCCUUUACUAAGUUCAAAAAAAUAUGGCUGCACUAUUUCCCCCCUGGCAUAACCUUAUGAAAACAGAAGUCCUGACCUCUGUGAGGAUCGGUCUGUUGAAAUUUUCAGCCAGCUCAGCUGAUUCAACUCUUGGAUUAGCACCUAAUUUUCUAGGGUUUAUUGAAGCAUAUUUUUUAAAGGUUGAAAUUACCUAUCAUGCAUUCAAAGAAACACUAAAAUUAUUUUCUAGAUAUUUAAUGUUGCUGGAAACAAUCUUUUUGUUGUUGUUU